rnacentral:rRNA from 1 species
GUCUAUGGCCAUGCUACCCUGAACGAGCCCGAUCCCGUCUGAUCUCGGAAGCUAAGCAGGGUCGGGCCUGGUUACUACUUGGAUGAGAGACCACCUAGGAAGACCGGGUGCUGUAGGUG